rnacentral:rRNA from 1 species
UACAGAGGUCCCAAGCGUUGUUCGGAUUCACUGGGCGGAAAGGGUGCGUAGGUGGCCAGGUAAGUUCGGCGUGAAAGCUCGGAGCUUAACUCCGAAAUGUCAUUGAAUACUAUCUGGCUGGAGGGUCGGAGGGGAGACUGGAAUUCUCGGUGUAGCAGUGAAAUGCGUAGAUAUCGAGAGGAACACCGGUGGCGAAGGCGGGUCUCUGGGCCGAUACUGACGCUGAGGAGCGAAAGCGUGGGGAGCGAACAGG